rnacentral:miRNA from 1 species
GGAUGCCCCCUUCAAAUGGAAUUUCAGAUAAAAGAGAAUUUUUUUUUAGUUUAAGUAUAUCCUAUGAAAUAUUUGGGAUAUACUUAUACUAAAAAACUGCUUUUUUAUUUAAAAUUCAAUUUUAAUGGGGCAU